rnacentral:SRP_RNA from 1 species
GCCGAGCUUGGUAAUGCGAGUUUGUAACCUGAGUGGGGGCUUUAAGGUGAUAGAAUGCGAGUUCGGGGCUUUGCUGAGUUGGAUUUCGGGUGGUUUAACUCUGGCUUGCCCGUUCUGAGUUGAGAGUUGUGCCAAGGGGCUUGAGUGUAAACUCUGAGUCUCUUGGUUCCUAAAAUGAAGGGUACUACGUGAGGCUGGUUGGUUUCACAGAGCAGUGAAGACCAUUGUCUCUUGACAGUGGAAGGAAAACAUCCUUGAUCCACUCCAAUCUAGAGGUGCUCAUGGGUUGGGCCAGACCGGGCGUAAAAUUUUG